rnacentral:rRNA from 1 species
UACGUAGGGCGCAAGCGUUAUCCGGGAUUAUUGGGCGUAAAGAGCUCGUAGGCGGUUUGUCGCGUCUGCCGUGAAAGUCCGGGGCUCAACUCCGGAUCUGCGGUGGGUACGGGCAGACUAGAGUGAUGUAGGGGAGACUGGAAUUCCUGGUGUAGCGGUGAAAUGCGCAGAUAUCAGGAGGAACACCGAUGGCGAAGGCAGGUCUCUGGGCAUUAACUGACGCUGAGGAGCGAAAGCAUGGGGAGCGAACAGG